rnacentral:rRNA from 1 species
UACGUAGGGGGGCAAGCGUUGUCCGGAAUCAUUGGGCGUAAAGCGCGUGUAGGCGGCUCGGUAAGUCCGCUCUGAAAGUCCAGGGCUCAACCCUGGGAUGCGGGUGGAUACUGCCGGGCUCGAGUCCGGAAGAGGCGAGUGGAAUUCCCGGUGUAGCGGUGAAAUGCGCAGAUAUCGGGAGGAACACCAAUGGCGAAGGCAGCUCGCUGGGACGUGACUGACGCUGAGACGCGAAAGCGUGGGGAGCAAACAGGG